UACGUAGGUGACCAGCGUUUGUCCGGAUUUACUGGGCGUAAAGAGCGCGCAGGCGGUCGUUCAAGUCGAGUGUGAAAGCCCCCGGCUCAACUGGGGAGGGUCACUCGAUACUGGAUCGACUUGAAGGCAGGGAGAGGGAAAGCGGAAUUCCCGGUGUAGUGGUGAAAUGCGUAGAUAUCGGGAGGAACACCAGUGGCGAAGGCGGCUUCCUGGCCUGUUCUUGACGCUGAGGCGGCGAAAAGCUGAGGG
rnacentral:rRNA from 1 species